AUUGAACGCUGGCGGCAGGCUUAACACAUGCAAGUCGAGCGAGCGGCGGACGGGUGAGUAAUGCCUGUGAAACUGCCUGAUGGAGGGGGAUAACUACUGGAAAUUGUAGCUAAUACCGCAUACCAUCAGAUGUGCCCAGAUGGGAUUAGCUAGUAGGUGGGGUAAUGGCUCACCUAGGCUACGACCCCUAGCUGGUCUGAGAGGAUGACAAGCAACACUGGAGCUGAGACACGGUCCAAGCUCCUACGGGAGGCAGCAGUGGGGAAUCUUGCACGAUGGGCGCAAGCCUGAUGCAGCCAUGCCGCGUGUGUGAAGAAGGCCUUAGGGUUGUAAAGCACUUUCAGCGAGGAGGCGUUACUCGCAGAAGAAGCACCGGCUAACUCCGUGCCAGCAGCCGCGGUAAUAC
rnacentral:rRNA from 1 species